rnacentral:rRNA from 1 species
AGGACGAACGCUGGCGGCGUGCCUAAAACAUGCAAGUCGAGCGAGAUCCAUCCGGUGGCAACACUGGUGAAGAUCUAGCGGCGAACGGGUGAGUAACACGUGAGCAACCUGCCCCGAAGUCUGGGAUAACUCGAGGAAACUCGGGCUAAUACCGGAUGUCGUCAUCGGACCGCAUGGUCUGAUGCCGAAAGAUUUAUCGCUUCGGGAGGGCUCGCGUCCUAUCAGCUUGUUGGUGAGGUAACGGCUCACCAAGGCUUCGACGGGUAGCUGGUCUGAGAGGACGAUCAGCCACACUGGGACUGAGAUACGGCCCAGACUCCACGGGAGCAGCAGUUAGGAAUCUUGCGCAAUGGGCGAAAGCCUGACGCAGCAACGCCGCGUGCGGAAGAAGGCCUUCGGUGUAAACCGCUUUCAGUAGGACGAAACAGACGUACCUACAGAAGAACGCCCGCCAACGUACGUGCCAGCGAGCCGAC